rnacentral:lncRNA from 1 species
UAGGUUUAUGCCCCGUUGAUAUUUCCAGUAGAUGUCCCACUAGGAAAAAGUAUAAGUAGCUAGCUGCAGGGGUAGAUACUUGUGAGGCAGAAUUCGGGUUGUCAGUUACUUCCUUGCUCCACAGCGCCUCAGUGUGGCUAACCAUAGCACAGCACCAAUGUCAUGGGUGCCUGCCAGUCCGACUUCAGAAGGUAGCAGGCAUCAGUUGUCACUGUCCACUUGAUGGGACUUCCUGGCUCCUCCAUUGGCUGUGCUUCCUCUUCAAAACCUCCUCUGUAAAUUGCUCAGAGAUGUUAGACUGGUGAACCAAAAAAUUUCAGUCACCUUUUACAUCAGUUUAGCCUGUUUCCAGCCAUGCUUAUAAGUCACAUCCCAAUUAGCUUAGGAAGGGUCUAUAUCUUUGUCAGGGAGUGUUUUCCAGCAAGAGGUGGAAAUAAAGUGAGAGGCCAUUACAGGCUGGGCUAUGAUGGGCAGUGAGGAGUUCACCCCAGUUCUCUGUGAAUCCCCUCCCAGUGUCAACUAGGUAUCUAUUUGUUGAGUGUCCACCAAGACCUUGCAUGUGUCUGUCCAUUCUGAUUACAGAAGACUCUGGGGGGCGGUGAGUGGGCAGCGUAUCACCCUAACGGAAACAACAGAUAAGAGAAUCCUGGGAAUGCUGUUCAGGUCAGCAGCUCUCAGAUAGAAAUGGGUCCCGGGGUAAGGGGGCAGUAUCUGAACUGAACUGAGGUGGGAAUUUUUGGAGGAGAAAGUUAGUCCUGUGGAGUGUUUCUGCCUUCGUCGUUUCCUGUUGUUAGAUGCUGCGUGUUCAUUAUGCCAUCCCGAAUCAAAGCACAAAAAUGUCGCAUGAGACAUUGUGGUCACAUGUCUGGUUACACUUUGGAGCACAAAUCUUAGAGUGGUAAAUAAAUCAUUUCCAAUGGGGUUGGCAGCCCAGUGUUUCUCUUUGUUCCUUUUUGUUAAUAUUUUAGAUGUAUAAAAUUUAGGAAAAAAAUCUUGUGUAUCAAGCACCCACGAACCUCUGCCAACUUCAAUAAACCUUGACAACUAC